rnacentral:lncRNA from 1 species
UAGGAAAAGCCUCAUUCAAUAUCCUAUUUUAACAACUCUGAAAAUUGAAAAGGACUUUUGUCAUUGUCAUUGUUGUUGUUGAUUUUAGCUUUUUAAGAACUUCUUUAGUACUCAGAAUACAGAGUUCUGCUAUCCACCACGGAGUAGGGAAAAGGAAAUGCUGACCUAAGAGCUGUCUACCAGCUGCACAUGGAAACAAGAAGAUAAAGUUCUGUAUUGGACACGGGUGAUGGGGAAAGCUUAGGGAUGAGAUGGUAUAGCUCGGGGCUAUCACAAACCACAUAGGGAAUACCCGUGCUGGAAGAAGCCAGAGGGUGGAGGAGCAACAGCUACAAGGAGACAGAGAAAAAGCACUUUGGAGACUCCUGCAGCCCAACUGUCACAGAGGAGAUUCCAAAAGCAUCUGGAAGUGCUAGCAGAUGUGAAGAGCCUUCCAGGUUGGGACAAGGAGGAGAAAGAGUGUGUUACAACUAGAGGCCAUGGUGAAUCAGCAAGCAGAUGAUACAGACCCAGUAGGAACAGGGUUGUGACUGAGACCUGGCAGAAUGAGAUACACCUUAGUGGUGCCCCGUAAGAACACGUAAUGGGCUAGGACUCAGGCCCACCUCCUUGCACAACCCGCCUCCACUCCAGCCAGGAGCCACCAUAGACUUCUGCACCUUGAUGCUGCCCCAGAGGAAGAGAAGAAAUUAUAUGUUGGUUCCCAAUCCUUUCCUUCCCAUGAGGCAUCCAGGGCUGCCAAGCUUGGCUAGGCAAGGGCCAAAGAGGCAGCCAGGGCUGGAGAGGAGACCAUGGCUGUUGAGACACACGAGACCCCGGCCAAGAAGUUGAUGGAGACCAAGGGAGUAACCGGACUUGCGGGGCUAAGGCUGAGGAGGCAGCCAUGAGGAUCCCAGCCUAGAGAGAUGUCUUCUAUUCUGAAAGCUGCAAGGACUCUCGGCUUUUGAACUCACUUUCUAAAGGGGUUCCUGCAUACUUCUUUUUCUCCAACUCCUCAAACAUUAAA